GUGCUUAGCUUCACUGGAGUGUCAACACUUAAUACUAGUUAUGUAGAAUUACAACUUUAUAUUUAUUACAGUAAAUACACAGGCAUGUAAGGAAAAAUUCUAGAACAGUUUUUCUUAGUAUGGUAAAAAUUUUAAUCACCAUUUCACUUUUGAAGAUCAUUCUCUCUUGCACAGAGCACUAAAUUCAGUACGAGAUCUGCUAUGAUGUUUCUCUCUUAUAUGUAACCAAGAAAUUUCCCAUGCUGUCACUAAGAAUCAGGUAUUCCUCCUGCUUUCUGCUAAAGGACCUAAAAUUAUAUUGGAAAUAUCAUCAAAGGAUAAAUCAUACUGGAUCUUCUUUUGGUUACAUUUAUAGGAGCUGCCACUCAGUGACCAUGUCAAGGGCACGUUGGCUCUCAGCCCCAGCCACUCUCCCAUGGCCAGCACACAAGGCCACCACAGCCUGGUCCUGACGUGAUACCCAAGACCGGUGGGUACGAGGGGCAUCUGGAAUAGACAAACCCUACCUGCAAACCAAGAAGACAGAUUUUGGCCUAUGUUUAGCAAUAUUCUCUUGCCAUGAUGGAGAGUAUCCUCUCAUGAACAACGAUUAUAAAUCUGUCAAUCACCCUAUGUAACUUCUCAAAUGAAGCAGCUAAAGCCAUAGCUGCCCAAUAAAAAUCUUUAAACUC
ensembl:lncRNA LINC02431 long intergenic non-protein coding RNA 2431